AUUCUGUACUAGAUCAGGAGAGAGAAUGUUGGUUCAAAUCUAAGAUGCAGAGCAGAUUGGUUAAGGACUAAGUUAGUUGAUCAUUUCCUAAGACAAGACUAGGACUAGCAGCAAAGGUGGUAUGGAUACUAUCAAGAUGAGAGGAGAAGUGGACAAACUGAAAACUAGUUCAAGGUCUAACUUUACAAACAUGACCUACCCACUGUGGCAUCCCUCUUACGCUUAGCCUGAUGUGCUUUGGUAGAGGAAGCACCACCCAUAUGAGUCUGCAUUUGCCAAAGGUGCCUUAGAAGAAAGGGAAAGAACUGGAACAGGUCAGCAAGUCCCAUGCUAAUGGGACUCAUGUCAAGCUGGGUCAAGUUGGGGUGUAGAUCUCUCAUUGAGAGCUAAAGCAUGGCGCUAAAAUAAGGGAAAGCAGAGACAUAGAAAACAAUCAAAUCUGAAGAAACCAGAGGAUGGAGAUGGAGGCUGUAGAACAAGGUGGGAAUGGAAGCUGGUGGAGAACAAUAAGGUCCUGCUGAGGAUCCCUGGUGCCCAGUAGGGAACACCGUGAGGAGGAGGAUUAAGAAAGGCACCCUUUCCACUGAUUUGCAUCGCCAUUUGUACAUGGAGUUUGGCUACAGCAAAAUCCGUUGCUAUCUCACCAGCUACAAGAAGCAAAGAACGAAUUGCAAUUCAUUUUUGUGCUCUAGGACCCGGUUGAGGAACACACCCUUCAAAGUGCUAAUGCUGUUCCAGCUCAGCAGACACCUCGUCUCGGGAAAGCCAUUAGAAACCCCCAAAAUACUACAUUUUUCUCCUGAGCUUUGAACCCUGAACCCAGCAUUCUGAGAGUGGGAACCAGAAAUGUGCAUUUGAAAAGACUCCCCAGGCAAUUCUGAUGAGGAGCCAGUGAGCCUGCUGAACCAGGUGACUACUGACAUCUCUUCUUUGAGUGACUUUCGACCAUCCCACAAAUGUCUGCUCGACGGUGUCCUGGAAGAGCUGGGUCAUGGCUCUCAUUACACACUACUCAGCAUCAUACACCAGGUUGUAUCACACAUCUCAUUCACACUACUGAGCAUCAUACACCAGGCUGUAUCACACUUUGUCCGGACUUCAUGAGUCUUCCAGUACAGUGAUGGGACGUAGGUUUUCUAGACUUGCCUAUGGGCUUCUCCUCUUUCCUAAUGAAGCUUCCACUCAUCCAAACGUCCUUUGAGGAGGAAAUUUAUCCAACUCACUCCACUGCAAAAGCUGGAGAACUGACAAGAUUCUUCCUGACCACUUCAGUGGCUAUGAUUAUAGGCAGUAUUGUGGUUUUCAUUUGCAAAAUGAGGAAUAAAGCUGCAGACAUUUCCAGUACUAGAAAUGGUCUGUUUGUAGCAUGAAGGUGCAUAUUCAUUUCUUUUUCUUUUUUCCUGACCCUUAAUCAUUUAUUACAUUUUUCUCCUGUUAAACAAGCUAUAUAGGCUGAAUACAAAGAAGUUUGAAAACACAGAAAGGUAAAAAAAUUAAAUUAAAUUAAGAUCAUCUGAAAUGUUAACUUCAAGAGAAAGUUAACAACUGUGAGCAUUCUGGUUUGUAUAUUCUUGCAGUCUUAUUUAAUUAAUUGCAUUUAUGUACUUUAAAAAAAGUAGAAUUAUAUUGUAUAUAUGGCUUUGAUUUCUUAAAAAUUAACAUUGUGAACAUGUGCAAGGAGUGUUUCUUAAAUUGCUCUUUCCAUUGUCACUUUUACUGGAGAUUAAAGUCUCAAAGUACAUUUUUUGACUUAGCAGAGGGAGAGCUGAGAUGUCUCAUUAAAGCUUGGCCGAGCGCCUUCUGUUACUGCUUAUUUACAUAAGUAGCUUUCCUAAAAUCAACGGCUCCCAUGAACAAGACAUAUAUAUUAAUGCCUCACAGUCCAAUAUAUGAUGAGAUAAAUGACCACUGCUUCCUUAUAUAAUGCGCACACACUUGCCUGAGACAAGUCAGCUGUUCUGAAACACAAGAUUAGGAAAUUCAAUUUCAUGUAUACAUUUCCAUGAAUCAAAAGUCAAAAUCAAAGGACAACCUUCUGUGUUACAGUGAACUCUGGAAGUAAGUGUAAAUAAGAUAAUAAGAUAUGCCCUACUUUGUUGUCAUCUUUUUUUUUUUUUUUGCUUUUUGUUUUUUGUUUGUUUUGAGAUGGAGUCUCACUCCGUCACCCAGGCUGGAGUGAAGUGGUGCAAUCUCGGCCCACUGCAACCUCCACCUCCUGGGUUCAAGCAAUUCUCAUGCCUCAGCCUCCCAAGUAGCUGUGAUUACAGGCGUGUGCCACCACGCCUAGCUAAUUUUUUGUAUUUUUACUAGAGACAGGGUUUCACCAUGUUGGCCAGGCUGGUCUUGAACUCUUAACCUCAGGUGAUCUGCCUGCUUCAGCCUCCCAAAGUGCUGAGAUUACAGGUGUGAGCCACUACACCUGGCCAGCUAUGCCCCACUUUGAACAAACAUUGCUAGAAUCUGGAAGAAUCUUCUGUUAGCCAAGGAUUGCUUUUGAGGUUCACUCCAAAAACUGAGCUACCACCGGGGACAAAUGGUCUCAUAAUUUUGAGUGUGUAAAGUGCAGCGAUUCCAGCUCAUGAGCACUAAUAUAAUUUUGGAAACAAUAUACCCACAACAGGCAUCGUCUAGAAAACUAACAGGAUCUCUUUUCCACUAGAGUGUAUUGUUGUUGACUAAGUGUUUUCAGUUAUUAAGCUGGAAGAGACAUGCUGGGGAGAAUGCUUUGGAGGAACAAGUAAGCACAGAACACAGAGAAUCAGGUAACUUAUUAUUUCUCACCUUUCUCUUUCCUUUGUAGAUAAUUAGCAAACAUUCCUUUCUCCACCUUAUCUCUUUGUUGAGGUCAUAUCAGCAAUUAUCUGCCCUCUGGUUUAUGCAAAACUACCUGAAUAAGUCAUAAUUCAGAAGAGCUUAUCAACUUUCUUCCAUGUCCCGUUGCCCAAAAAUAAUCAGCAAUGAAAUAUCUCAAACAUACAGAAAAAUAGAAGUAAACAAAACCACCUAGAUUUAUGAGCAGUUCACUCUCUAUCUACAUGCUUAAUAUAUUUUUAAUAAAGUCUUCAGUCAUCACUGCCACAUUUACAAGAAUACUUGGCCUUUUGGCUUGUCUUCUGAACAUAUUUUUGCAUGUAAGCCUUUUACAUAUUUCUCUGAAGUGGUUCGAAAUCCAUCAGCUCGAUGGUCUUUAUUGUUUCAAUAUGGCCCAAUCCACAGGGCAGAGCAUAUGACUGGUGUGGUGGUUGCUGCGUGGCUUUGAAGUCACACGGAUUUGAGUUCCAGUCCCUGCCUACUAGCUGAGCAAAUGUGGUCAAGGGUCUGUGACUGAAAUUCUCAUUGAUAAAGCAGGGAUAAUAAUACCUACCUUGUUGUCGAGAUGUCAUGAGGUGAUGUAAGCAAAGCAUCAGAACAGUACCUAGCACAUAGUAAGUGGUUAUCAUCAGCUUGUGUGUCUGCUGUAUAUGCUGAACUGCUUGAGUCCAUCUCCAAUUGAAGCUGUAUUUACCAGGAUCCACUCAACCACUACCUUGAUCAUUAACACCUCCUUAUUUGUGGACUCAUGAAUACAAGGCACUUGCAUCUGCGGGGCUUCAAACUUAGCCCAGUGAAAUGGCAGUCUUUUUUAGUUUUCUAAACACCUGGAGGUGACUUUUUCCCUGCCUCUGACUUUAAAAACAUAAUGAAAUUUUACAGAGUUUUAUAGCACUGAACUUUAUGUAAAAUCAAAAGAGCCCGUGAAAUAAGAGAGCAAUUGGUUGUAAGCAAGCCCCUUCAUGAACAUGGGCAUUUUUUUUUUAACGUCUUUGUAUCUGUGAGCAUCUCCUUCUCUUCCUAUCCUUAAGUGUAUUAUUUGUCAUGAAAGCAAAGUGCUUUUAAAAAAUUGUGUUUGAUUCCAUGGUUCCCAACAAUGGCUGGACUUCAAACUCACCUGUGGUGCUUAAGAUUAUAUAUCUGUAUACUUUUGUUUAAAAUGAAUAUUAUAAAAAUUUAUGUUUAAAAAUAUGUGUGUAUAUACAUACAUAGUUACAUACACCCAAGGCACAUAUGUGCAUGUGUAUACAUAACAUAUACACAUACAUACAUACACGCACACCACCACCAAAGCCCCACUAAAAAAAUACUGGAAUCUCUGGGAGUAAUGGGGGCAAAUAGGAGGAGUUAAUGUUCAGGUAAGGCUAUUAUGGACCCAUUGUUGAGAAUCACAGUGGGUUAAUUACUUGAAACAGUACCUAUCUAAAGGACAGUUAAAGAUUUUGGUAUUAACCAGAAAGUCUUUUUUUUUUUUUUCUUAAAUAAUUUUGCAGGCAAGAUGCUGCUGUUACAAGUUUUCUGUUCUGAAUUAUGUCUUCCAUAGGAAUGAAGCAUCCACACAGUCCAUCCAAGCAUACUGUGAAUCAAAACACAUGUCAUAGCUGGAACGAAAGCAUUAGGACCAUCUAACUGGAUUCCACUGGAAUGAGUCUCUGUGAAACCAUGCCGAAGUCUUUGUAAACAACCACCCUAAAGAAAGCUACAUGAAGAAUAGCCAAUAACAAAAGCACUGGAUUUAACUCAAUUUUGUGAAAAAACAAAAAAAACAAAUAUGAUGCACACACUCUAUCCUUUUGUGAACAAAAUGCCACCAAACAUUUGAAACUGGCCUAAGCAUACAUUGACAUGUUUGACAUGAAGCCCAGCCUUAUUGAUCAGCCUUUCCAAUACCCCCCGCCCCCCAUUCUUUAUUCCCAAUAGAUACAUCUUCUCACAGGUAAUUGGGCAGAAAAAUGCUUAUUGACUGAUCUUGAAAACUUCAAUGCAUCUAAAGCUGGAGAACAUUCAAAAACCAUGCUUCUCUUUAUUUAUUUCAGUUUCCAUGGCAAGAGGAAAAUAAAAGGCAACUGUUUUGAAAGCAACAACAGUAAACGAAGCAACAUCUCUGGCAAGCAGGCAAACCUUAAAGAGUAAAAGUUAUAAAUCCCCAUGUAGACAAUACCUUGUAGGUAUACCUUCCCCCAACCACGGGGAUGACUCUUAAUGGUGCUGACUAGGUAUAGACACCAACUUGGGACCAGUAAGUUAUUCUUAGAAGGUGCUAACUUUUGUAUUUUCUUUUAGGUUCUUGCUGCUAUGUUUCUCUUUCAAUUGACUUCCAGAAAUCAGACAGUGAAAUCAAUGGGGCUUUCCAGGCCACUGAAUUCAAAGUAAUCAGGGCAGGGUCAGAAUGCUGAUUGACUGUUUUCAACACACAGGGACCUGGAAUUUGGGUUCUAGCUCUAUCCCUCAGCACAGAGUCAGCAGACACAAUGCCCUAGAUGGUUGGAUUUUCUAGUGUCUGUGACAGGCAUCUUCAAAGCUGAUUCCUCUCCCUCUGAGAAAUCAAGGCCACCACCUUUAACUACUGACACAGUAGUGUACUUCCCGUACUGCAACCUCAGUCCCUUUUGUCACUUUUGCUUUGCAUUCAAGUGCCUUGGCCAGUGUUAACUGCAGCACUUUGAUUUCUCUUUCUAUAAAGACUAUCAAGUACCAAGUCAUUUGUUUCUGCAACCAUGUAACCCAAGGACAUAUUCUCCUGGAUGAAAUUCCAAGACCCCCCCCGCCACCAGAAGUCAGUGGAGAAUAGGCACAGAAAAGAUGAUGAAGGUCAUAGUUUCUAAUAAUUUGUUUUCUUUUUAAAAAAAAUUUUUAAUUUUUAUUUUUUUGAGACAGAAUCUCACUCCGUCACCCAGGCUGGGGUAUGGUGGCAUGAUCUCGGCUCACAGCAACCUCUGCCUUCCAGGUUUAAGUGAUUCUCCUGCCUCAGCCUCCUGAGUAGCUGGGAUUACAGCCGCAUGCCACCACGCCCAGCUAAUCGUUUGUAUUUUUAGUAGACACGGGGUUUCACCAUGUUGGCCAGACUGGUCUCGAACUCCUGACCUCAAGCGAUCUACCUGCCUUGGCCUUCCAGAGUGCUGGGAUUACAGGCAUGAGCCACCAAGCCCAACCAGUUUUCUUUCCUUUUUUUUUUUUUUUUUUUUUUUUUUUUCCUUUUUAAGGGAGGGGAUUCCCUCAGUGGGUUUACUUAGAGUGAAACGGUAUCUUGGCUUUGGACUUGCCCCUGCCUUCAUUCAUGUGGGUACUUUUUAUUUAACUUUUCAUUGUAGGUAGGCUCCCCUCUACCUAAAAAACCAAAGGGAAAAACCCCAAUUCUUUAAUUUACUCACAUCCUGUUACGCUUUCACAAGCUGUUCAUUUUCAUACCAAGCCUCAUCUUCUGCUGCCAACAUCCUAGUUUGAAGGAAAGGGGGAGACAGGUCAACUGGUAGUGGUCCUGUCCUCAAAGGGAGAGAACUCCUGGGUACCUCUUUCCAGCAGCCCUAGGCUAUUUCAAAAUGUCAGCAGGUCUAAUCCUAGAAGAAAACACCAUUUACUUCUCAACCUGCUGGGGCAUGGUGAGGUCUAAACAAUACAUUAACCAACAAAAUCUGCCAGUUCCUGAGAACUGCCAGAGAACUGCCUGAGAACUCAGAGAUAAACAGUAAGAGGUAUGGUCAACCUUCAGGGGAAUGAAGAGACUAUCUCAAUGCAGCAAAAAUAAAGGAAUUAAUGUGCUCUGCAGCUUUAGAAAGGAACUCUCCUUCCUGGGGGUGCCUCCGUGUCCCUGGCUCUAGGAGACUACCUAACCAGCAAGGUUGAUAGCAUGACCCUGGCUCCACUGAAAACUUGGGCCUAUAGACUGUCUUAUUCUAAAGGGUGCUUUUUAAUUCUAAUUUUUUUUUAAUUUUUAUUUAUUUUUUUUUGAGACAAGUUCUCACUCUGUUGCCCAGGAUGGAGUGCAGUGAUGCCAUUUAGGCUCACUGCACUUUUGACCUCUCAGGUUCAAACAACUCUCUCACCUCAGCCUCCUGAGUAGUGGGGACUACAGGCAUUCACCACCAUGCCCGGCUAAUCUUUUUUUUUUUUUUUUUUUUUUUGUAGAGACAGGUUUUUGCCAUGUUGCCCAAGCUGAUCUUGAACUCCUGGGCUCAAGCGAUCCACUUGCCUCAGCUGGGACUAUAGGUGUGAGCCACCGUGCCCACUCGAACCACUGGUCUUUUAAUGUUUUCAGCUCCAGCUGGCAAACCCAUUACCUGCUCUUCCUAGGCAGCAUCCCUUGGUCACUAUCCAGCCAUCUGUUACUGCCAAAGCAAAAGUCCAUGGCCCUCGAAGUGUGGGAACUCUGGCCAUCGGCUACUUAUCAUUUUGCCCUCUGAAAUCCUUAUAUUUCUUUCUGAAUUCACACACUCAGAAUUGGCAGUAUAUUCUUAAGCUAUGAAGUCCUCCACUAUAUGCCCAUCCCAAAAACCUAAGCGAGUAAGAUUAUUUAAUCUAGGAAAUGGUUAUUUACUCUAUAGAAAUCUGAUCUUCUCAUUGCCCAAUAACCAUGGAAUGCUGAAGAGUUGCCUCAGAUGGCAGGGAGCCUGCAUGCUAGCUCACACACUAUCCCUAAUAGCCAUUUAAUUUUGGGAAAAGACCCGUCUUUUCUCUGGACUUUAGUUUUCUCCUCUUUAGAAAUAAGAAGCUGGUUAGCCAAUCAGUCAUGUCUCUUUCAGGUAUAUGUUCUACGCUUUGCAACUGCAAAGUUGACAAUCUGAGAAUGUGUGCACGCCAAAGGGGCUUAAAAAAUAAUAUUAUCUAACACUUAAGCACUUGAUGUGUAUUAACUCAUUUAAUCCUUCAAUAACCAUAUGAGGUAGGUAUUAUAAUUAUUACCCCUAUAUUUUAGAUGAGAAAAGAAGAAAUAGAGAGAGGUUGAGUAACUUGACCCAUUAUCCAGUAGUUUUAAGGCUGGGGUUUGUAUUUUUAACCACCAUAUGCAGGAUAAUGGGCAGAUCUGAGGACUAAGCUUCCUUGACGUUUGCAUGCUUAGAAGGUUACAGAGGGAGUGUGAGAAUCACAGUUAAUCUGCAAAUCAAUGGUAUAUACCGAAAAUCAGGACAGGGGCCAGAGUGUCCUCACUGUUACCUGUUGGAUUCCCUUGGCAUUAUUUAGUGCACAACAUUACCAUAGGAAAAUCACAAGCACUUUUAUGGCAAUGGUGUAAAUUAGGAGGAUUCUGACAGUAAAGCCCAGAGUCAUUCCAAGAUAAAACGAUCAGUUUGGGAUCUCUUGGCCACCUACUGACCUGUCAGUGUAUUGAGGCAGUUUGGGGUAGGAAGUAUGUCAAAUGAUACUGGAGGAGGGAAUACAAGAGGCCGGGCAGAGAGUGACUUAUUUAUUAAUUAUCUAUUUAUUUAUUUUUGGUUGAGGCAGAGUCUCGCUAUGUUGCCUAGGCUGGUCUCGAACUCCCACCUUGGCUCCCAAAGUGCUGGGAUUACAGGUGUGAGCCACCAUGCCCAGCCCCAGAGAGUGACUCUUGACUAGUUUGGAGAAAUAAACUGACUUCAAGGGUCUUCAAAACACAGCCACUUGGAGGUCCUGACUGCCCUUUUCUGAUCUCCAGCAUGAGCCUCUGCAGAAGCAAGUGCCUUUCACUGAGUCUGACCCUAGCUGAGUGAGAUCUUUGCAGAGGAAAGGACAACAUGCUUAUUUUUUUUAAAUGGGCCCAUAAGAACCCCGAAACCAAACAAGAAAAUCAGGAAAGUUUCUUGUUAGUCUACUACAGACAGGUAGUGAUGAGAACUUGGAAUACUAUCUAGAUUCUGAGCUCAUUGCUCUAGGGCCCAGGGUCCCAAAUGGUGCCUCUUUUCAAUGCUUAUUUACCAUAGUUUCAUAGAAACAUGACCAAGUGUCAGUUAGUUCUUUACCCUUCGGGUUUUUUCCAUCAUUAAUCCUCUUGGCACAGGGUGGGGCUGAGCUGGGAACAAUAUCAUAUAACUCUAGUUGCAGCUGUCCUUAUGCAAACCAGCAUAUCCGCAAGUUACCAUGACCUUUUGGGGGAAACCAACAUAACAGUGCUGGUGGACACAGCUUCAGGCUGCUAGAGGUCACUGAUAUGUACCAUUGCAACUUGGAAGGAAUUCCAUAUAUUGAUACUUUCUUUGAUUCUAUCAACCAAACGGCUUUGUGGGGCACAUGCUAUAGUACUGAAUGAAAUACCUUUCUUUCCCUUGAGCCAAAAGCACAUAAUAAGCUAUAGAUUCUUUGCUGCUAUGCCAUUGAUUUACCUACUGUACUUUGUAACCCAGGAGGGCUAUGAAUCAUCCUUCCUAAUUUCAGCUUCACAAAACAGGUUGCUUUUAAUACAAUCUCUUCUUUAUCUAGAUUUAUUUGUUCUGAACCCUAACACAUUCUUAGGGCAUUAUUUCUUACUGAAGACAACUCUCCCUUAGUGUUUGUUUAAUGGUAAUUUUUUAUUCAAGUUCUUCCUGGGUGUCCGCUUGCCCUUUAAUUUUCUUUUUCACAGUGCUUUAUAUUCCUAGGAAUACCUGAGUCACAAGUGGUCAGAUUGCCAGCAUUCAGCAAUCCCAGGCAGGGGGCAGAUUUUAUUGCCUUUCUCUCUUCUCCUCCACGGGUUGCUCAACAGUGUUAACAUUCUGAUUUCUUUUAGGAGUGGAGCUCCAAGAUAAUCUCUUACCCUGCCCUUCUUACUCAUUAACUUUAAUUUCCAAAAAAUGCCGCCGAUACCAUUCAAACACUAGUUCAGGAAUUACCACGUGCUGGGCACUGUACUGGGUGCUGGAGAUACUGAGAAGAAGAAACAUGAUCUGUUCUCAGGAAGCUCACAAUAUGGUGAAUGUGAUAAUUAAGGUCAUGAUUAAACAAAGCAGGAAGUACUCCAAGAAAGGUGAGCAAGGCAUUACAGGUAUGCAGAGGAUUGCUUGACCCAACCUGGAAGAAUCCAGAAAAACUCAUCCAAGGCUGGGCACAGUAGCUCAUGCCUGUAAUCCCAGCACUUUGGGAGGCUGAGGUGGGCGGAUUGCCUGAGGUCAGGAGUUCAAGACCAGCCUGGCUAACAUGGUGAAAACCCAUCUCUACUAAAAAUACCAAAAAAUUAGCCAGUUAUGUUGGCGUACGCCUGCAGUCUCAGCUACUCGGGAGGCUGAGGCAGGAGAAUCGCUUGAACCCCCCGGGAGGUGGAGGUUGCACCGAGCCAAGAUCAUGCCAUGCACUCCAGUCUGGGCAACAGAGGGAGACUCUGUCUCAAACAAAACCCAUCCAAGAGCCAAGAAGAGGUUAUGCUUGACCUGAACCUUAAAAUACAAGUAGCUGUCAUUUUGGGGGAGUCCAAACAAUGGAUGGGUUGAUGUGGAUACAGCAAAGGACAUAAUUAAAGAGUCAUGGCCAGAUCAUGAAGGAUUUUGUUCCUCGGGCUAAGAAAUUUUAGCUUUACCUUAAAGUAGAGGAGCUACCAAUUCCGAGCUACAGCGAGGAAUCGUAAUAUAGCAUUGUAUCAUGUAUGAAAGGACAAAAUUCAUGCUACUUUCCUAAAAGUAAGAUUCUGUGUCCCCGUUUGCUUCAUCUAAUAUUGCUUCUUGGCCCCAGCAAUAGCACACAGAGCACCGGAAAACUAGUUCAGGCUUAUCACCAAUUCCUGAAGCCAGUCUACCUCUCCAGGACACUUAGAGCCAUGACCUUCUCCAAGCUCUCCAAGAUCGCUGUGCUUGUUGCAUAUUCUGGUCUGCAGAAGGUGAAAGGGUACUAAUCAUCCUAGAAGCCUUCCUGGAACAGGAUCUCUUUGCCUAGGGUCAUAAAAUGAGGGAUCCAGAUGGUACAGGGAAGUGUAAAUGGCAGUUGGAGAUGGGACAACAGUAAGUGCAGAGGCAGAGACACAGGUCAGCAGACCCCACAUGUGACAUGUCAAGUACAGGGAGUAGGGGAAGAGGUGGGAGACAUGGUACAAGAAGUCAAAAGAUCCACUGGUUCCCUGUAUUCCAUGAAAACGUUACUGUACAGAAUAUUACACAUUUCCAAGUUGGAGACACUAAAAUACAAAGGUACAAAUUGUCUAAGCGCAGAUAUGAGGCAGUGGCAAAUUAAUAAAACAAAUCACAUGCCUGUUUCUAACCUGUUUACCAUGGCCAAGAAGAGUCUGUGAAAUCAAGUUAGACAUUCUGUCUUUGAAAUCAUGCAUUCACAGAACUUAUGGAAGCUUUCAAGUGGAAAUGUCUUUACUCUUUAAAAAAAAAAAAAAAGCUCAAGUAAUGCCCUAAUCAUCUCUUAUUAUUGUUUGUAUCUGCAGGAUUUGGAAACUGCUCAGGAAAACAACUGGAUUCCUAAUAAUCCCUGAACAAUUCUUUUUUUUUUUCUUUUCCUGUGGACAUUAGCCUUUUAAUUUUUCCACAAGGAAUUCUGGGCCAAUUUAACUAAUAAAUAAUAACAGAAUUUUCUAA